rnacentral:piRNA from 1 species
UCCUGUAAUAGGCCUGAGGGGCACAGG